rnacentral:rRNA from 1 species
AGAGUUUGAUCAUGGCUCAGGAUGAACGCUGGCGGCAUGCCUAAUACAUGCAAGUCGAACGGAAUCUUAUAUGUUCCUCGUUUCGGAUUUAGUUCCGAGUUGGGGAACAAUAAGAUUUAGUGGCUGACGGGUGAGUAACACGUUGGUACCUACCCUCUAGUGGGGAAUAACUUCGAGAAAUCGAGGCUAAUACCGCAUAAUAUCUACGGAUUAAAGCAUUUAUGCGCUAGAGGAGGGGCCUGCGUCUGAUUAGCUUGUUGGUGAGGUAAAAGCUCACCAAGGCGACGAUCAGUAGCUGGAUCGAGAGGUUGACCAGCCACACUGGGACUGAGAUACGGCCCAGACUCCUACGGGAGGCAGCAGUAAGGAAUCUUCCACAAUGGGCGAAAGCCUGAUGGAGCAAUGCCGCGUGCAGGAUGACGGCCUUCGGGUUGUAAACUGCUUUUAUAUGGGAAGAUUAUGACGGUACCAUAUGAAUAAGGACCGGCUAACUACGUG